rnacentral:tRNA from 1 species
AUUUAUGUAGUUUAAAAAAAACAAUACAUUUUCAAUGUAUAGAUAAAAAAUUUUUGUAAAUG